GUGGGAACACUUACACUUUUGUUUAAUCCUCCCAUCAUCUCAUUGAUUGAAGUACCUGCAGGUGGAGAGAAUAAAAUGGUGACAAUGAACAAUUUUUGCAAGGAUGCAAGACCGGUCAAUGGUACCCUCCUGAUUGAGCCAAGUUAUAUGUGACUCCAAACCCCACAAGUUCAGCUGUUACAUCAUAACAAUUUGCAGUUUCUGAAGAGAACUGUGUCCUUAUGUUAAGACAAUUUUUUUUUCCAUUUUAUUUCAUGGAAAUGUGAUUGUCCAUUUUAGGGAGUGACAGUACUUUCUAUAAAUUGAGGCAGCUUCAGGAUAACAGUUCUAGUUCCUCUGAAAGGUUCCCCUCAUCAGCAUUGCUAAUCUCCUCUGGAAAUGACAAAAUUUGCAUUGACCUUAUGGAAUGGCGCCAGAGAUUCUGUACAAGUCUCCUUAUUGAAGAGAACAGGGGCCUCCAAAUUCCUAAAUCCAAUCUAUUGCUCUCAUUCAUUAUUUCAGAUUUUUCAACAUAAUGUAGUGCAAGUUUGAAUAUUUCAGAGUGGAGACAAAGAUAGUAUCUCAUUUAUUUUGGAAAAACAUAUUUAUAUUCAUAUGAAAGUUCACCAUUUCUUGGAGAGGUUGAGGAGAAGUCACGUUUGUUCCUGCAGUGGAGAAGAAUCUGUGUCUUCAGGAUGCCAGAUGUUUGCCAUUGAGCUGUCCCAGAACACCUGGAACUCUCAGAGAUGCGUCCAUUAAUAUUGUAUGUAGGAAGAGUCUUAGUUUUCUUUCUCUUUGACCUCGACCUUGUGUUAGUCGUGCUGUAUCUUCCUCUUUAUCCAGUACAAAUACUAGCUAGGUUAUUUUUCACAAAUUCCACUUUGGCUUGGAGGAAGAAGCAGUUCUCCAAAUAGGUCCAGAGCUUGAGGUGGUAAGAAUUUGAGGUAAGAAAAUCCAGCGGUUCUCCAGUUACAAAGCAUCCCAAUCCUGGAAACAGCUUUACUUUAGUUGGUGACGAUUGUUUAAAUUGAAAUACUUUCCCGUUACAGAAUAACCUUUGCUGAGGCUGGGAGACUGAACCCCGUGUCUGGCAAGUGGAGCAGGACUUGGGCGUCUGUUCCUGGGUCUGCGGUGUCGCGCGCCCCCUGCUGGCCGCCGGGCACAGAACAAGGCACGCGCUGGGGAAGAGAAAGUGAAAGUGGAGCCAGGACGCCGUCGCUUGCAAAGCAUCGCCCGCAGACCGAGGGGAGACAAAGUUGAGGCAGCGCGAGGGGGCUUCCGAGCUCAGCCCUCCGCACUUAAAGGAAAGACCCCCGGAGCUGCAGCCCAGAAGCUGCCGCUGACCUCGCCAUGCGGCUCUCUGACCUGAGACCCUGGGCCGCCCUACUGCUGGCGGACUCGGCCUUACUCUGGCUGCUCCAGGGACCUCUGGAGGCUCUGCUUCCCCGAGGGCUUCCAGGCCUGUGGCUGGAGGGCACCUUGCAACUUGGAGGGCUUUGGUGGCUGCUGAGGCUGGGAGGGCUGCUGGGAUAUGCGCGGACACUGCUGCCCCCCCCUCCCCCCCACUCCCCGCCCCGUCUGGUGAUCCCUCUGUUUUCCUGAGGGUUCUGGUCUCAGGAACCUUGAAUGUGCCCCCAGCAGAGUGGCUUCAGUCCCUUGGUGCUGCUGCUGCUGGGGUCCGGGGCUGCAGGGCUCAGCUGGGAAGUGUGGGCUGUGCAAACUGUGCAGUUUGCUGGCUUAGGAGCAAGAUGUCUGCUUUUAUAAGGAGGCUCUCAAAUGAUGCUGGCACCUGUGGUGGCCAGGAGACCUGGAACAGGCCCUCUGCCUGCUCUUAAGGAGGAUGCUGCACUUGACAAUGAAGGUGCUGUUGCUGAGCUGUGGGCUGCAGCAGGUCCUGGCUGGGACGUCACCCAGGGCGGGCUGCUGUCCUUUCUGCUCUACCGGGAGAACCUGGGCUCCUACAAGCAAGUGAGUCGGGAGCUGUGCAGGCUGUCUUUCCCACCCCCCUGUUUUCCCCUCUGGCUUCUGGGCCUUGGGUUUUAUUUGUUCCUCUUUAAAAUACAAAAAACAAAACCAAACAAAAACGAAAUAACUCUAAUUUGUUUGCUAUGGAGAAUUUCAAACAGAUGCAGAAAACCCCACCCCAUGUAAUGAACCCCCAUGUACCCAUCCGCUUUAACAGUUAUCACCUGAAGGCCAGUCUUGUUUCAUCUGUUUCCCCAUCACUCCUCCCAUAUUCUUUUGAAGCAAACCCAAGAUAUGCUUUCAUCUGUAAAUAUUUCUGCGUGUAUCUUUAAACAUAAAAAAAAGUUAUACAGAUAUAACCACAAAGCCACAAUCACACCAGAAAAGUUAACAGUAGCAUCAUCGGUCAGUGGUCAAAUUUCCGCGUGUCUCAUAGAGGUAGUAGAAGUGUAUACACUGAGUCGAUCUCUUUCUCUCUCUCAUCUGUGGGGGCACCAUCCACCAGUGCUCAGGGUCCGUCACAUUACUGGGGGCUGCAAAACAGUGACCCUCGCCAUUCCCUCCUUCAUUAGUGGGGGUUCAUCUCUCAAGGGAGACGUCUCCUCAUCUGCUGUGUGGUUCCCAGGGGUGCAGUUUGAUGAAGAAAGGCAGAAUGAGCAUUCAGCUCCUUGCCUGUAAUUACCAGGUUCCAAAAAUAAUUAGUUCCUGCAUCUUGGGCUUUAUUCGAUAAUUUUCGUGGACAUUUGUUAAACAUCGUUAUGUUGGAGAGCUGCGUGGGAGGCACUCAGGGGGCUACAAAGAUGAGGUGGGCACAGCGCCUGCCUUUAAGGAGUCCCCUGUCUCAUUAGGCAGAACUGUGUAGGGGUCACAGGGACCAGUCCCUGGACAGGUGUGGGGUGGGAGGAACACUGUGUGGGAGGAGUGUGGAUGUCUCCUUCCUUUAUGCUGCAAAUUGGAGUAAUGGGGGAUUGGGGCUGAUGUUAAAUUCCAUCUGCAUUUAUUUUUUUGUCUUUUUAGGGCUGCACCCGUGGCAUAUGGAGGUUCCCAGGCUAGGGGUCCAAUCGGAGCUGUAGCCACUGGCCUACGCCAGAGCCAUAGCAACGCAUGGCUGGGGCGGCGUGGGGCAGGGAGUGCGUGAGGAGGUGAGGGGUUGAAAGUAGAACUUUUGAUCUAUGAUCCAGCAAUUUGACGUCUGAUAUUUUUCCAAUGAACACAGAAACAUUACCGAUAAAGAUAGACUCAACCCUGUAUUUAUCACAGCAUUAUUUACAGUAGCAAAGAUAUGGACGCAACCUAAGUAUCUGUCAGUAGAACAGAUAAAGAAGAUACCACAGUGGAAUGUUACUCAGCCAUGAAAAAGAAUGAAAUUCUUCCAUUUACUACAACAUGGAUGGACUCAGUGGGUAUUAUGCUAAGUGAAAUAAGUCAGAGGAAGACGAAUACUCUAUGAUUUCACUUGUUGGUGGAAUUUAAGAAACAAAUGAACAGAACAAAACAGAAACUGACCCAAGAUACAGAGGACAAAGAGUGCAACUGGAGGUGACAGUGCAUCCAGAGAGGACCCCGUCCCUGCAGCUCCGCAACCUGCUGCUUUGCUCUGUGACAGGGUUCUACCCAGGGGCCAUCGAGAUCAGGUGGUUCCGGAACGGGCAGGAGCAGAGAGAGGGGGUCCUGGCCACUGGCCUCGUCAGGAAUGGAGACUGGACCUUUCAGACAGUGGUGAUGCUGGAAAUGACUCCUGAGCUUGGGGACGUCUACACCUGCCUUGUUGAUCAUCCCAGCCUGCUGAGCCCCGUUUCUGUGGAGUGGAGUGAGAAUCAGCUUCUUGUACUUUCGGGGUCCAUCUGACUCAAGACGGGUCCUGAGCUACCUCCAUGCUCAUCCUGGUCAGAACACUAGUUUGUCCGUCCUUCCCUGAUCUGAGGGAACCAUAGAAAUUGGGGUCGUGGGAGGAAACAUGCAGAGAUCUGUCUUUGUAUCUUCCAGACACUAAGGAGGUCUAAUCGUCUUGUCCCUUACUUCCAACUUUGGGAACUAGUGUUCCCUACACUUUGAUCUUGGUGUUUAAGGGGGAUUCUUUUUUGGGGGGGGAGUCAUGCCUGAUGCCUGGGGAAGUUCCUGGGCUAGGAGUGAAGACUAGAUUACACCUGGGUAAUAUAUUUAAAUAAAAAGAUAAAAGAAGGCAUUGCAAAAAGGCAUAAAGAGAAUCAAGAGAAUGACAAUCUAAUAAACUAGGUAAACAGGUAUCAGUGCUUAUAAUGGUUUCCUACUACAAAACAGAUGACCGCCACAGCAGGUUAAAACAAUACACAUUUGUUUUUUUCAUAGUUUUUGUGGGUCAGAGGUCCAGUUAUAACCUAAAAACUGGGUCCUCGGAGUUCUUGCUAUGGCACAGAGGGUUAAGAAUCUGACUCCAGUGGCUCGCGUUGCCGCAAAGGUUAGGGUUUGAUCCCUGGCCCAUGGCAGUGGGUUAAAGAAUCCGGUGUUGCUGCAGCUGGGGCUCAGAUUUAAUCCCUGCCUGGGGAAUUUCCAUAUGCUCCAGGUACGGCCGUAACCCCCGCCCCCCGCCCCAAACUAGUCUCUUCUUCAGGGUCUCAGGCUGCAGCUGAGGCAUUGUUCAGACUGUUGUGUUCCUUACUGGGGGCUCUACUGUCCAAAUUCAUGCAGGUUGUUGGCAGAAUUCACCUGCUCCAGAUGGGAGCUCUGAGGUCCCUGAUUUCCUGCUCAGUUCCUAGAGGUCACCUGCAGUUUCCUGCCCCAUAGCAAUCUCCCAGGCUUAGAGCCAGCCAAGGAGAGUCUCUCCAGCACGCUAAAAUGAAGUUUUUUGUAAGAAACGUAAUCAGGAGUGACAGCCCAUCGCCUCUGACCUAUAAUAUCUUAUUCACAGACCUCCCGUCACCUUUGACCUAUAAUAUCCUAUUCACAGACAUCCUGUCACCUUUGCCAUAUUAUCCUGGUUAGAAGCAAGUCACAGGUCCCAUUAACUUUCAAAGGAAGAGAUUAUCCGAGGACUUGAUUCAUUGGAUGUCACUUUAGAAUGUGUCUGCUCUCCGGCCUUUGAUGAGCCUUGUCCCUUCCACGUGAACAAAUCAUCGUCCCAUUCCAAGUUUCCUUAAAGUCUCAUUCCAGUAUAGCAUCGGAUGAAAGUCCGGAAUCUCAUCAUCUGAAUCAGGUGCCGGUGAGGAGGAGGCUACUGGUGGUACAACUUUGUGGAGCUGUGAAACUAAGAGGCAGGAGAUCUGUCUCCAGUACAGCCAACUUAAAGUUGUCAGGCAGGCGUUGGGUAACUGCUAUAAAUAUUUCUGUCCAAAAAGGAGUUGCUGGUCCAUGGCAAUUCUGAAUUCCAGUUGAGAAAACUCCAGCCAGAGUCCUUGGUUAAAUUUCAGAGACUAGGGACAAUCCAGGUCUGAAGUGGGAAAGGCCAAUGUUUGUUCCUAAAAGGUGGCAACUGGCCAGCUGUUAUUUCUCUGACUAGUCUUUAGGGUACCUUGGCUCUCUCUCUGGAUUCUUGGCCCUGCCCUAUUGGUCAACUUUUUUUUUUUUUUUUUUUUGAGGUCAUAGGAGGUAGCCCUUGCUUACAGUGAGUAGUUUCAUCAGCCUGCUUCCUGCCAGUGGAAUCUGGGGAGUCUGAUAGCCUCCUUUCACGUUGUGCUUCCUCCUUUAAAUCCAGGCAGCAAUGUGGAGUGUGGCAUUUCUUCCUAGAGGAUGGGAAACCAGCUCGGCCAGCUCUCAUUGCCCUGACUAGUCCUUUCACAUUUCCAGAAUAUGUCGAAAUCAGAGAUGUGGUUUUGGAUGUUUGGGAAGCAAAGAAGCAUAAAAUGGAGCAGAAGGUAAAGCCAGCUUUUGCCUGAAGAUGGAGUUCAGUCUUUUUACAUGUUGUAGCAGGUAAGAGAUUGCUCCUAUAAAAUCGUGUGCUUUAAAAGAAAAUCAUCACUGCCAUCACUCAUGUGCAAGCCACUAUCCUUUUUCACAUUGAGUUUCCAUUAUUCUCUGCUGUUGUCCAAUGCAUUCUUGAUACUUCAGUAAGAGUGAUAUUUUACUUUAUAAUAUACGUUUGAAAAGUAUCACUGGGGGUGUGGGAUGGAAAUCCUAUAAAACUGGAUUGUGAUUGUCAUUGUACAACUAUAAAUAUAAUAAAUUCAUUGAGUAGUAAAAAAAGUAUCAGAAGGAGGAGUUCCCAUUGUAGCUCAGCAGGUUUAAAGACCAGACGUUGUCUCUGUGAGAAUGUGGGUUCGAUCCCUGACCUUGCUCAGUGGGUUAAGGAUCUGGCAUAGCCUGCAGAUUUGGCUUGGAUCUGGUGUUGGUGUGUCUGUGGCAUAGGCCCCAGUUGCAGCUCUGAUUUGACCCCUGGCCCUGGGACUUCCGUAUGCUGCAGGUGCAGCCUUAAAAAGAAAAAAAAAUUAUCAGAAGGAUACAUGCAUGUAGUUCAAAAUAAACAGUCGUGAUAUAUUUAAUAAAGUAGGAGCCCUUCAUGCCUUCUCUUUACGCCAAUGGAACAUACACACAAAGAAAAUAUCCAUAUAUUCCUGUUUUAUUGAAUGAUUUUAAUAUGAAUGGACUCGGAAUUAUGUCAAAUGAUUGUUUUAGAGGAGCAGUAAUCUAAGGAUCAAUGAAUUUGUAAGAAUUAGAAUCAUACAAAGUUUGGGCACUGACCAAAAUGAAGUUAAAUUUGAAAUCAAUGUAUAAACACAUAAUCAGAUAUCUGUAAACUAAAACACACUUCUUUUGAAUAAAACAUGGGUCCAGGAGUUCCCAUUGUGGCUCAGUGGUUAACAAACCCAACUAGUAUCCAUGGGUACGUGUGUUCAACUCCUGGUCUUGCUCAGUGGUUUGGGGAUCCUGCGUUUGCCGUGAGCUGUGAUGUAGGCUGGCAGCUGUAACUCCAGUUUGACCCUUAGCCUGGAAACCUCCAUAUGUCAUGGGUGCGGCCCUAAAAAGACAAAAGACCAAAAAAAAAGUCCAUUGACUCUUUUUUAUUAUAUGACUUCACAGAAGUUUUGUAAUUCCUCAUGAUUCUACAGAUUUCUUGAUAUGUUUAUUUUAUGCUGUAUUUCCCCCUAAUUGCAGCUCUGUGCUUCUUCUUGGCCUUCUUAGGGAUUUGUCUGCUAGAGACAAGUGAUGCUGCCUCACAUCUACUCCUCAUUGGCUGGAGAGAAAACCAUUAUAUCCUUAAAAAUAGCUCUGCAAAAUCUCUUUGCCGUCAUUGUCUUUAUUUGAGUGUUAGAGUUGAGCGUCAGCAUUAAAAGUCAGAGUUUUGGGGAAGGGAAGUAGCUGUAGGAAGCCACUUAGUACGUAAGCGUACCUUCCAUCUUCCAGGGCACCCUGCUCUUGCCUCGACACAAUUGCUCUAAUAUCAAAGGGAGGUGAUAGGAUCAGCAGUGGGAGGAGGGGACAGAGUCACAAUUAGAUCAUGAAUCUUAAACCAGUGGUGGCUCAGCACUAACAGGUAUUCAAGAAGUAAUUAACUAUAAAUGUUAGCAGCUUAAUGUGUUUGCCUCUUGGGAAAUCCAGGGGAUAGGUCUUGUGUGAAGGGGUCAAAUAAACAUCAGAGUCAAAUAAACAUCAUUUGUAACCCAGCUGUGGCCCUGGUCCUGGCUCUAUUCAAUGAAAAUGAUUGAUGACUCCAGAUCCGUUGGUGAGUAGCUGAUCCUCACAGCUUCUGGGUCAACCAAAAGGUUCCAGGGUGUAUUAGCGGAUAAGAAGGAAAUAAGGCUGAGGGUUUGGGAAAUGUACCCAAAUGCCUCCCAAUUGUCUGGGAGCAAAGCCAUUUUUUAAGGUGUCAAAGAGAGAGGUACAACUCUAGUAUAAAAUGAUUGCGGGUCCAAUCCUUAUUUCUUUCCUUUAUCCCAUCCAAUAUUAAAAAGGAUACUUGGCACAGGGAACUAUAUCUGAUCACCUGUGAUAGAACAUGAUAGAAGAGAUGAUAUGAGAAAAAGAAUGUACACAUAUGUAUGACUGGGUCACUUUGCUGUGCAGCAGAAAUCGACAGAACAUUGUAAAUCAACUAGAAUAAAAAAUUAAAAACUAUUUAGUUUCUCUGUCCUAUGUUUUUGGAACUAUUGUUCUUGUUCCAAUCCAAGAACAGUCAGGCCAAUGAGGAGGUGCAGGCAGAUUUUCAAGUAGCCCUCCAGACACAAUAAUGUAUUGCUGUUAUAUUAGUCUGUUUUUAUUACUGAGCCUUUUACAUGCCAUGUAGCUUUUUAGGCACGUUCUGAAUACUGGCUCAUGGAGUCCUCACAGCAAUCCUUUGAGGAAGUACUGUGAGGAUGAGCAUCCACAGUUACGGAUGAGGAAACUGGCACAGAGGAUUUUAAGAGCUUGUGUGAUGGUACAACCCUGGAAAAUUGUAAGACCCCAAUUCAAUACGGGCAGAAGAUAACUGCUGCCAGAGGGACCUGCUUAACUACUAUGCGACACUGCCUUUCAUAGCCGGGGACCCACUUCUGUUAUUCAGAUGAGAUGGUUGAAUAUGGUCUGCCCAGAACUUCUUUCAUGUUACGUCAUAUCAAAGACCGGUACUAUCUUGGAAGCUGGAAAUUGGCAGUCUUUUUUUUUUUUUUUUUUUUGCCUUUUAGGGCCAAACUCAAGGUUUAUGGAAGUUCCCCGGCUAGGUGUUGAAUUGAAUUAGAGCUAGAGCUGCCGGCCUACACCACAGCCACAGCAACGUGGGAUACAAGCCUCAUCCGUGACCUACACCCCAGCUCACGUGGCAACUCCGGAUCCCCAACGGAGGCCAGGGGUUGAAUCCUCACCCUCUCGGCUACUAGUCAGAUUCAUUUCUGCUGUGCCACAGUGGGAACGCCUGAAAUGUGUACUCUUGUUGCUGACUCAGCUCUUUUCCAUCAGGUCCCUUGAGGGGCAAGUUCUGGAUGGACAUUUCUAUGUUCUCAGUACUUGUAAUCCCUGGUAUCUAUUAAGUAGGUGCCUAAUAAAUUAAAAUAAAUUCUUUAUAGACAAACACACACACAUAUAGGCAUGAAUGUGUGAUUGUAUUCCAUACAGAACCUGCACAGAUCAGAAGCCUGAAACUAUCUUUAUCUUAUGUGGGAAUUGACACGCUUUGUGGUCAGGAAAGCUGGUCUUCUCACACCAAGGUCAAGUGUGGCUGUAGGAGGCGGAGCCUGCAGGUGCAGCAGCAUGUGGAGGGUACUUCUGACGCCCCCCUUCUCUCGAGGAAGAGAGUGUCCUAUCCCAGUCGGCGUUCCCAUCUUCCCCCCUGGACAACCUCAGACUUUUAAUGGCUUCGAGGUUUAGACCACAUGUGCAAGUGUGAGAUAUUUCUCUUCUCAAUUUUUUUUUUGUGGUGUAUGAUAGGAAGUCAUUAUUUUAAUUCUUGGAGAUGAAUUUGUUUACAGUAUUAAAUUACACAUGACGGAAAUGAGAAGGGUUGACGUCAAAGGUCAUGUGAAAAGAUUGAGAGGUGGGUUUAACAAUUCAAAUUAGAUUGAAAGCUGUUAAUGGGUGGCCUUGAAGGUCGGAGACACCUCAAGCCUAGUGGAGAGAAACAAGGGGACAGAAGAGACAGAGGGGCUACUUCAAGAGUUCCAAAUAUUAUUCUGACUAAUAGUUCAAUACAAAUUUUAUUUUACUGCUGGGUUUAUAAAGCCGAUCACAGAUCUGUCAGACCACGUUAGAAGCAGGAAGAGGAGAAAACAAGAUCCCUUUUAUUGUAGUCUAGAUCCUUGGGUGACAUUUUAUUCCUUCCACCUUCACAGGUAUAAAUGUAGAUACAGAUAUAAAUGGAAAAAUGGUCAGAGGCUUGAGAUCAUAGUAAACAGGCCAAUUUGUCACUAAGCUUUGUUUUUAAUUAAUUUUUUCCUAUCAGUUUUAUUGUGUUAUGAUUGACAUACAACAUUGGAGAAGUUUAAGAUAUAAAGCAUGGGGAGUUCCCUUGAGGUGCAGCGGGUUAAGGAUCCGGUGUUGUCACUGAAAUGGCUCGGGUCGCUAAUGUGGUGCAGACUGAAUCUCUGGCCCAGGAACUUCCACUGCCUCGGGUGCAGCGAAAAAAAAAAAAAAGAUAUACAGCAUAAUUAUUUAAUUUACAUACAUCAUUAAAUGAUUAUUACAAGUUUAGUGAACAUCUGUCAUCUCAGAUAGAUACAAAAUUAAAGAAAUAGAAAAAAAUAUUUUUUCCUUGUGAUGAGAACUCUUAGGAUUUAAUUGCUUAACAACUUUUCUAUAUAACAUACAACCGUGUUAAUUAUAUUUAUCAUGUCACACAUCAUCUCUUUAGUACUUAUUUCUUAUAACUGGGAGUUUGUACCUGUGGUUUGCCUCCUACCUGCUGAUGGUCAUAGAUUUAUAAAUAGAUUCUUAAUUAAACUAUCUUCAAAGUAA